rnacentral:rRNA from 1 species
CUGGGCUUGACAUGCCCCGGAUCNCCUCAGAGAUGGGGUUUCCCUUGUGGUCGGUGCACAGGUGGUGCAUGGCUGUCGUCAGCUCGUGUCGUGAGAUGUUGGGUUAAGUCCCGCAACGAGCGCAACCCUUGUUCCAUGUUGCCAGCGGGUAAUGNCGGGGACUCGUGGGAGACUGCCGGGGUCAACUCGGAGGAAGGUGGGGAUGACGUCAAGUCAUCAUGCCCCUUAUGUCCAGGGCUUCACACAUGCUACAAUGGCUGGUACAGAGGGGUUGCGAUACCGUGAGGUGGAGCGAAUCCCUUAAAGCCAGUCUCAGUUCGGAUCGCAGUCUGCAACUCGACCUGCGUGAAGUCGGAGUCGCUAGUAAUCGCAGUCAGAUGNGCGA